UAAAUGCUACCAGACAAAUCUGUUUAAAAUUUCCGAGCUAGUAAAUGUGUUGCAAAACGUCUGUAGUCAAAUUUGUAGUGUACAAUAUGUACUGCCUGACUUUUUUAUGUCCCCCUCAGUGCUGUUUUGCAUAUCCAUAAAAGAAAAAUAAUGUCCUUUAAUAACCAUUUGACAUUGUGGUAAGUUGAUAAUGAAACUGUCAGGAAAUGCAUGUUUGUGCAUGAUUUGCUUAGCUGCUUACUGGCUAAAAAGGACAACCUGCAGAGCUAUUUUGGUGGACAGGAACAAGCAUCCACAAUAGGGUUGCCAGUUGUGAGUUACACAUGCUGCUGAGUUUGCAGGGAGCAAUAUGACUAGUGCACUCCAGCAGCAUUAUUCAUGUGCUAUCCAGAGGCACAAUAUAUGUUCCUCUCUGCAUCAUGUGUAACCCUUAAUUCUCGAGGUUAAAGGGACAGUCUACACUUGAAUAUUUAUUGUUUAGAAAGAUAGAUAAUCCCUUUAUUACACAUUCCCCAGUUUUGCAUAACCAACACAGUUAUAUUAAUAUACUUUUUACCUCUGUGAUCUUGUAUCUAAGCCUCUGCAGACUGCCCCCUUAUUUCAGUUUUUUGACACUCGCAUUUUAACCAAUCAGUGCUGACUCCUAGGUAACUCCACUUGCUUGAGCACAAUGUUAUCUAUAUGGCACACAUCAACUAAUGGCCUCUUGUUGUGAAAACAUGUUAAAAUGCAUUCAGAUAUGAGCCUCCUAGGUUUAGCUUUCAACUAAGAAUACAAGAGAACAAAGCACAAUUGAUGAUAAAAGUACAUUGGAAAGUUGUUUAAAAUGAUAUGCCCUAUCUGAAUCAUGAAAGUUUAUUUUUGACUAGACUGUUCCUUUAACAUGACUGAGGUGGCAACCCUGUUUCACAAGUAUUUAACCCUUUAAGGACACAGCUUUCAGUUUGCUCAAUUGUUUUAUGAUGGAAAAAUUCCGUCAUAUGUCCUUAAGAGUUUAAACACUAUUUUUUUCAGCACAUUUAUUUAUUUUUGAAUAAUGUACUAUUUAGAAGUUAUACUUUAUUGCCCUUUUAACUGCUUUGCUAUAAAUUAUGCCUGUGUGUUUUUCUUUGUGCUGUAGGUAUUUAUCUGACUUUUGUGUGGGGACAUGAGGAAGUCACAAGCAAUACAAAAGUGCCCAGUGGUAGAAUCUCUUCCAAAAUGUUCCAGUUGGCCAUUUAUGAAGCCUAUAUUACCCACUAAGCAACUUAAAUGGACUUGCAACAGCUAAUAUAAAAUAAGGAAGUCUACUCUCUAAAAAUGGAAACAGGAUAUCAGCAUAAAAGCAAUGAUCAGUUACAACACUAGACGGCACGAAAACCUUAGUGAUGUGGAGACUAGCUAUACCUAUACCCUAACUGUCUAUGUCUAUGGGACAUCUCUAAAGCUCUCUGGCCUGUCUAAGUUUUAGGAAAAUCUGCACCCAAGACUUCAUCCACACUGCGGAUCUACGCCAGAUAACACAAACCUGAAUGUGAGUGAGGGAUUUCAUCAGAUCUAAAGGCUCCGGAUUCAGCCACAAUAUAUACCGGAACGUUCAUCAACGAUCAGUUUUGUAUACUGAACAUUUCCACUAUUAUUUAGAUCCUAAAAGAUCUUUGUCUGCAAUGUGUUUAUAUAUGUUUUAAAACUAUACUAUUUUAGUAUUAUUAUUGCUUUUAUAAUUGUAUUUCCUCAUUAGUGUAUCUUUUUCAAAUGUAUCUUUUUUAAGUGUAUCUUAUUUUUAUUGUUGUGCUGCCGCAUAUAUAUGUUUUUUUAUCUAAAUUGUGAAUUUAAUUUAUUUUUGAUCUUUAUGGGAGGAUACAUGUAUUGAUUACCCAGGUUGUCACAGAUUAUCACUGUUCACCAAUUUUAUAUUUCACCUAUUUAUAUCACAUUAUUUGUCCCUUUACAUAUUGCUAGAGUUCCAAAUUUUGAACCUCAAAUUUAGUCUUAUUUAUAAGACUUUAUCACCAGAUUUUUUUUCCACAAAUGUAGUGUUUUUACACAGAUUUUUUUCACUAUACUGAUCUUCAUUAUUGACUUUUAUUAAUAGUCACUUAUAUCCCCUUCGCAUUUUUUUGCGCAAUCAAUUAUUAUUUUUUCACUAAGUUUUGUCAUUACAACAUUUAUUCUUGAUGGCUAUGUGAAGAAGAGGCACAUACAUUGCAAUAAAAUCGUUAGAAAAAUGUUUUUUACAUGAAGUCUGUCCAUACCUGAGAGGUUUUGACCAUCAGUCUUAUAAGAUAUAUGGACAAGUGACUCCAUUUUGAAGACACUUCCGGUGAACCCCUUCCUCAUUGGAUACUAGAAAAUACUUUUAUUUGUAAUCAUAUGUUCAAAACAAGAGAAGUGUUUGAAACCGCUCAUUUGAGUUAGGGUAGUACAGUGAUCACCUGUACAACAAGGCACCAGAAAGGGUAUUUACUAGGCAGAUCGGAUGAACUUCGGGUUAUUUCAGAAAUACUGGAAUCCAUUCUUUCCUCAUAGACAUUGUACGUUCCUAUAAUUGUUAGGUGACUUCAAUAAAUAUAGCUGUCGUCUAUUUA